ACCCGAUGCUACUCUGCCUAACUACCAGAAUAGAAGAAGGUCAGGGAAAGACCAGAAGUAUCAGAAAAUACUGGGAAGACCACACUUAUAUAUAAGAAUAUCACCUCUCAAGUGAACAUCUAAUUAACACUGGAGAUUCAGUAUGUGAUUUGUAAUCCUCUCAACACGGCAAAAUCAAUAUACUAUUUCCAUUUUACAGAUGGGAAACCCAAGGCCCAGUGAAACCUGAGAAAACCUGUGGAAAUUUUGCUGGCAGUCUGAGGAAAUACCCGGAUUCUCCUGGAAUGGACCCCCUAGAGAUGCCUGGAUUGAAUUAAAGCAGCUCAUUCUAAUGCCAGCUGGCCAGAGUUUGGGCAACACCAUCAUCUCCUCCUUGCUGUGUUGAAGAAACAAAGAUAAUGACACUUUCCCAAGACUGGGGCUGAGUUGGAGACAAGAGGCCAGGAUUUGGCGCAACACUGCUGUUCAGAAUUUCUUGACUUGGACUGUUUCUCUGGACCAGUCUUUUUACCUAACUUGACAAUGAAAGGGUGGCUCAAAGAUGACACAAUAGAGGUAUUUGGAGAUUCUUUUGUCUUCCCUUGACUC
rnacentral:lncRNA from 12 species